AACGAACGCUGGCGGCAUGCCUAACACAUGCAAGUCGAACGAGACCUUCGGGUCUAGUGGCGCACGGGUGCGUAACGCGUGGGAUCUGCCCUUUGCUUCGGAAUAACAGUUAGAAAUGACUGCUAAUACCGGAUGAUGACUUCGGUCCAAAGAUUUAUCGGCAAAGGAUGAACCCGCGUAGGAUUAGCUAGUUGGUGGGGUAAAGGCCUACCAAGGCGACGAUCCUUAGCUGGUCUGAGAGGAUGAUCAGCCACACUGGGACUGAGACACGGCCCAGACUCCUACGGGAGGCAGCAGUGGGGAAUAUUGGACAAUGGGCGAAAGCCUGAUCCAGCAAUGCCGCGUGAGUGAUGAAGGCCUUAGGGUUGUAAAGCUCUUUUACCCGGGAUGAUAAUGACAGUACCGGGAGAAUAAGCUCCGGCUAACUCCGUGCCAGCAGCCGCGGUAAU
rnacentral:rRNA from 1 species